rnacentral:rRNA from 1 species
CCUGGUAGUCCACGCCGUAAACGAUGUCGACUUGGAGGUUGUGCCCUUGAGGCGUGGCUUCCGGAGCUAACGCGUUAAGUCGACCGCCUGGGGAGUACGGCCGCAAGGUUAAAACUCAAAUGAAUUGACGGGGGCCCGCACAAGCGGUGGAGCAUGUGGUUUAAUUCGAUGCAACGCGAAGAACCUUACCUGGCCUUGACAUCCACGGAAUUCGGCAGAGAUGCCUUAGUGCCUUCGGGAACCGUGAGACAGGUGCUGCAUGGCUGUCGUCAGCUCGUGUUGUGAAAUGUUGGGUUAAGUCCCGCAACGAGCGCAACCCUUAUCCUUUGUUGCCAGCGAGUAAUGUCGGGAACUCAAAGGAGACUGCCGGUGACAAACCGGAGGAAGGUGGGGAUGACGUCAAGUCAUCAUGGCCCUUACGGCCAGGGCUACACACGUGCUACAAUGGCGCAUACAAAGAGAAGCGAACUCGCGAGAGCAAGCGGACCUCACAAAGUGCGUCGUAGUCCGGAUCGGAGUCUGCAACUCGACUCCGUGAAGUCGGAAUCGCUAGUAAUCGUAGAUCAGAAUGCUACGGUGAAUACGUUCCCGGGCCUUGUACACACCGCCCGUCACACCAUGGGAGUGGGUUGCAAAAGAAGUAGGUAGCUUAACCUUCGGGAGGGCGCUUACCACUUUGUGAUUCAUGACUGGGGUGAAGU